ACGCCGCGCUUCUACCAAAGUUGCAAAGCCACCAGCAGGCAGACCUGUCAGAACGGAGAAGAUCCCGGCGACCGAAGAAAGGCAAAACCGUUCCGUGUGGGCUGCCCGGAGUGGCAUCGAGUCUUGUUCGAGUCCGAAGAGCUUCCUGCUACUCUAAGCCGGUUUAAGUGAUGCGAGUAUCCUCCUCUUGUCCCACCCGGUCUGCGUCCUGACACCUAGUGGACUCCGCCCCAGGAGUGCGAGCAUCCUGAACGUUCAAGGUGUCCUGCGCAGCGGAAGGCAUCCGGCCACACCCGGAACCUCGCUGGUCCCUCGCCCGCCAACGCCAGUCCAGGUGGUCAGGCUCAGGAUGGCUUGUGAGCUUUCAAAGAGGAAGGCGAUGGAAGCCAGCAAGUACGCCACCAGCCGGAUGAAUUGUUGCUCUAUGGCUUGCACAAAGUCAAGCAAAUUAUCUUCUUAUAUUAUGUAAUAUCUCAACGGCCUGCUUACCUUAUUCCUUUAAUCUAGGUUAUUCUUGAAAGUAGCACUUGAAACAAAAAGUCGAUACGUUCUACUGGGAAUGUGAAAGAAAAGCCAAGGUAAUUGGGGAAGCAUUGCCAAGAGCUCAGUAGCUGUUAGACAAAAGCAUCCCAUGGGUCUUAAUAAAUUUUUUCUGACAUAUGUCUGUUCGAUGGGCCAGAGAGGAAGGAUGGGCACAGUACACACACACACACACACACACACACACACACACACACACACACACACACACACACACACACACACACACACAGAGAGAGAGAGACAGAGACAGAGAGAGACACAGAGACAGAGAGUCAGACAGAGAGAAGCAUUUUUCUUCUCUAUCAACAGCCAUCUCUGUAUGAGGAUUUCUCCCUUCACAUGGCAAUUGUGCCAUCCCUGUAGGCUGCCAGGGAACCUGCUUGGUACCGCCACAUCAGAGACACCUCGAGUAAGGAGGCUGGAUGCUUGCAAUAGUGCUUGAAGCACUGUUAACAAAGAGCAGGGUCCAGUCUUCCAGAGUCAUGACCUGCCUGGAUCCAAAGUUGAAAAGACCUGAGAGGUGUAAAAGCAGCCUGUCAUACUCUGCAUAAUACCUUGUUAGGCCUGAAAAAUCUAUUUGCACUUC